UACGUAGGCGGCAAGCGUUGUCCGGAAUUAUUGGGCGUAAAGGGAGCGCAGGCGGGAAACUAAGCGGAUCUUAAAAGUGCGGGGCUCAACCCCGUGAUGGGGUCCGAACUGGUUUUCUUGAGUGCAGGAGAGGAAAGCGGAAUUCCCAGUGUAGCGGUGAAAUGCGUAGAUAUUGGGAAGAACACCAGUGGCGAAGGCGGCUUUCUGGACUGUAACUGACGCUGAGGCUCGAAAGCUAGGGUAGCGAACGGG
rnacentral:rRNA from 4 species